rnacentral:rRNA from 1 species
CAGGCCUUGACAUCCAAUGAACUUUCCAGAGAUGGAUUGGUGCCUUCGGGAACCGUGAGACAGGUGCUGCAUGGCUGUCGUCAGCUCGUGUUGUGAAAUGUUGGGUUAAGUCCCGCAACGAGCGCAACCCUUGUCAUUAGUUGCUACGAAAGAGCACUCUAAUGAGACUGCCGGUGACAAACCGGAGGAAGGUGGGGAUGACGUCAAGUCAUCAUGGCCCUUACGGCCUGGGCUACACACGUGCUACAAUGGUCGGUACAGAGGGUUGCCAAGCCGCGAGGUGGAGCUAAUCUCACAAAACCGAUCGUAGUCCGGAUCGCAGUCUGCAACUCGACUGCGUGAAGUCGGAAUCGCUAGUAAUCGCGAAUCAGAAUGUCGCGGUGAAUACGUUCCC